rnacentral:rRNA from 1 species
AUUGAACGCUGGCGGCAGGCUUAACACAUGCAAGUCGAGCGGAGAUGAGGUGCUUGCACCUUAUCUUAGCGGCGGACGGGUGAGUAAUGCUUAGGAAUCUGCCUAUUAGUGGGGGACAACAUUCCGAAAGGAAUGCUAAUACCGCAUACGUCCUACGGGAGAAAGCAGGGGAUCUUCGGACCUUGCGCUAAUAGAUGAGCCUAAGUCGGAUUAGCUAGUUGGUGGGGUAAAGGCCUACCAAGGCGACGAUCUGUAGCGGGUCUGAGAGGAUGAUCCGCCACACUGGGACUGAGACACGGCCCAGACGCCUACGGGAGGCAGCAGUGGGGAAUAUUGGACAAUGGGGGGAACCCUGAUCCAGCCAUGCCGCGUGUGUGAAGAAGGCCUUAUGGUUGUAAAGCACUUUAAGCGAGGAGGAGGCUACUGAGACUAAUACUCUUGGAUAGUGGACGUUACUCGCAGAGUAAGCACCGGCUAACUCUGUGCCAGCCGCCGCCGUAAUAC